AAGGUCGACAAGGACUAUGGCUACAUUCCUGACCUCUAGAGGGCCAUCCUCCGUAGCCGCACCACAGCAGACAGAGGCAUGCCGCGUGUGAGACGCCAGAGGCCUGAUGACCCGCGGCAGUAUGGUGUGCUAUGUGGUAUUCCACCUCCAACCACAGAGGAGCUACUGCACACACAAGUCAGUCGACGACAAGGGCCAAGGACUACCUAAGUGAGCAGCCGACCAUAGGAGAAGACGUGACCCCUGCGACACCUCACCUGAGUCGAUCCCACCUACACCCCUACUAUGGCCACCACUCAAAAAUACUGACCAGGGGUUAGACAUGUUCUAUAGGCCUAGCCCCACUGAAAGAUGGUGUACUUAUUUUUUAAUUUACCUUUUUCUAAACUUUUUUUGUGGUGUGUUAUGAAUGUUUGGGAUUGUCAUCUAUAUUUUUGAAUGUAAUAAAAGUGUUACCCAAGUGA